GUAUGCUUCUCCCUGUCUUUCACAUCGCGCGAACAUUCCAUGUAUCUGUAUUAAUCGUCGGUGUGGUUGUCAGAAGGGGCAUCGGCCUCA
rnacentral:precursor_RNA from 1 species